rnacentral:lncRNA from 1 species
AGUACUUUAUUAUUUAGACAGUAAACAAAAGGGGCACAACCUAUGUUCUAGAUAAUUCCUAACACGUUUGACGCUUAAACAGAUAGUUCACACACCUUUAGCAAUUCGAUGAUAAUUCCUAACACGUUUGAUGCUUAAACAGAUAGUUCACACACCUUUAGCAAUUCGAUGCUUGCUGAUUUUUAUCUCUUGAGUUGAGAAAGAUAUAAAUUCAACUGCAUAAUAAAGAACAAUCCUACUUUUCUAUUAUUCUAUAAGUAAAGAGUAAUGUAACUUUUAACAAUGACACUCAUUAACAAUCUGCGUAUUCGUUUCCUUAAAUUUAUACCAUGAGGGAUACAGUUGCCAUUUUGGAAUUGGAAUCCACUCUUAGCGUGUAGAAGCUUUCAAACCAGGGACAUACUUGCCAAAAUAAAA